UACGUAGGUGGCAAGCGUUGUCCGGAUUUACUGGGCGUAAAGAGCGCGCAGGCGGCUGGGCAAGUCCGAUGUGAAAGCUCCCGGCUUAACUGGGAAAUUGCAUCGGAAACUGCUCGGCUUGAAGGUGGGAGAGGGUAGCGGAAUUCCCGGUGUAGUGGUGAAAUGCGUAGAUAUCGUGAGGAACACCAGAGGCGAAGGCGGCUACCUGGACAAUUGCUGACGCUCAGGCACGAAAGCGUGGGGAGCAAAAGGG
rnacentral:rRNA from 1 species